rnacentral:lncRNA from 1 species
UUGCACUGAAGUUGCAGCCCUCAAAUAUGGCAGUAUUGACUGUUGAGCUUUUAAAGGAGUCAAUCUUGUAGCAUUAUUAGUGUGAGCCAAAAUUGUUCCAGAAUUCAUGGGCAAAGGGAGAAAAUCUAGGGUAAGCUUCACAUUGGCAACUUGAGUCCGGAUGUAUUGAAUUAGUACAUUCACAACUGUAUUACUCCCUUGACCUCGCACUUAAUUCCAAUGCAUCGUUCGAAUCUCG